UAGCGGAAUUAUCUAUCGCUUUAUCUAAGACCCACAGUGAUUUUUCGCAAAAUGUGUUCGAUAUGCGAUGUUGUCGUCAUCGUCGUCAUCGUAUAGUGAAACGGAGAGGUGGUGGUAAGGUAGUGUCCGUACCGUACUACGCUCAUUUUCACAUAAUCUCUUCAUACGUGUGUGAGCUGUGAGCAACGAGCAGCGAGCUCUGGCAUAUUCACUGACUCGCUACGACUACGGGCUACGUACAACGAACGUCCAAACGAAACGAUUUGUAAAUGAAUACGAUGAUAGCUGCUGCUGCUCUGCCUCUGCUGCUGUUGUAGCUGUUCAUGUUCUUCAACUACGCUUUGUACAGCGAACUUAAAAUUUGUACAUUUUAAGCUUCAGUCAGACAGUGACUUUUGCAACAAACGGUUCGGCGUGAGCUUGCGGGCAACAUUUUUUUCUUCGUUUAUUUUCUUCGUUGAAUUUUGUUGAGUUUUCUCGCAUUGGAUUUUUAUAUACAUCACAUAUAAUCUGUUUUUUAUUUCAUCAAAACAAACAACAAAAUAAAAACAAACAAAAUUUAAUAAAACAAAAAACGCGAAUAUUAAACGUUUUUGGUGAAACAGUUAUUUCGGUGUUCGUUCGCAAAAAAAUUGAGCGAGCGAGCGAGCGGGCGGGUCGCUCUUCUUAUAUCUAUCGUAAUUGCCAUCGGGCGAAGGACGAGAUUUUGUUCGACCGACCGAACUACCGAACGAACGAUCGAACGUUUGAUUUGAAACAAACGUUUAGAGUGGUUUUAAAAGUGAUUUUUAACGGACUUUUUUCUUUUGUAUAUAUUUUUGGCACAAGGAAGUGUGUUUAUUUUUGGCGCCAAACAACAGAAUACAGAAAAAUAAAAUUAAAGAUUAAUUAAAUAAAAUAAAUAAUAAAACAAAAAGAAUAUAAAACAAAACCUAGUGAAUGUCAAUGGCAACAUUCAAGUGAUUCAAGGCUUAUUUUUUAAUCAACAUUUUGGUUGUCAUUGAACUACAUUAUCCGAAUAAUAAAAAAAAUCGAAAAAUCGAAAUCGUGCGUCGUCGUGUGAUUUGUGACAAUAUUAACGGUAAUUAUUAUUGAUUUUGUGACAGCUCUCUUUUUUGUAUAUGGUAAAAAACAAAAAUGUCGUCUUCCGGAGGAUAAUUAUUGUUUAAAACUGGAAGAAUUGUUAUCGAUGUUUUAAUAUUUUUGAUUUUUUGAAUAUAUUCAACAUUUUCGUUGUAUGAAAUGAUAAUGCAUCAAGGCUGAUGUCAAAUAAAGUGUAAAUUACCAAAAAAGUGUUGUAUAAAUAAAAAUUAAAAUCAUAAGAAAUAAAAAGAAAAAAAAAACAAAACCCCACUUGAGGGAGGGGGGAAAAAUAAAAUAAAAUAAAAUAAAAUAAAAUAACCCAGGAAAGUUUUGUUUUCACUUUCAUUGGUUUUUUUUUGUUAAAUAAGUUUUGUGGCGUUUGAAUUGCAAUUUUUAAGUUCAAAGUGAAACAGUGAACAAAUUUUAUGAAAUAUCAGAAAUAGUUUACUUUUUUCCUCUGUGUGUUUCAUUAAACGCAAAAACAAUUGCGUUGAAAUAAAAUUUUAUAUAUUUACUGUGGAUUAUUCGUAUCGUGCGUCGUUGGCGUCGUGCGGGGAUUAUUUUUGUUCUCACAUAUAGAACAUCUCGUUUUUAAAAAUUUAUGAUUUUAUCAUAAGUUUAGAGUGCAUUUUUUUGAGAAAAACAAAUAACGGAGGAUUUAUUUGAAGGAUUACUCUUUUAUUUGACAUUAUUUGGAUUAUAAACAUUUUGUGGAUAUAUAUUUUGUUGGUGUUCAUAGAGAAAAAUCCAACAUCUUAGUGCAAUUAACUGCCACAACAAUUGAAAGUUAAACAAAUAAACCAUAAUGUUCAACAUAAUUAGAAUAUUCAAAUUAAACAUUAACUUUCUUUAGAUGUUGAAUAAAAUAAAUACAUCUCCGCUCCACAGAAAAAGAAGAUUUAAUCACAUGGGUUGAAUGACUGGAAAAAUGUAAAAAAAAAACAAACACUAGCAAAAAUGCAACCAACACUGCCAAAAUCAAUGACAAUAUCAAUCGAUAAGAUACAAUCCACUGGCUGAUCGCGGGUGUUGGAUUCCCAAUUCGCACAAUAACAACAGGCUCCAUUGUCUGUCUGCCCUGAGAUUUGAGAAUUAAGACUGGGUAUACCAGGGAGAGAUGAUGAUGUGCUAUUCCAUGGUGUGUGGUUAUUGUUAAUGUACUGUGCCUACUAUAUGCGCUGAAUCUGACGCUGAGUUUGCGGUUGUUGCACCUGGAUGUGAUGCGAAGCAAAAUGCGAGGAAGUAAUGCAACAGCAUUGAAAUUGUAUGUAGUUUGCAAUACGUCGUCGCUGUCGCCGCCGUCACCAUCAACAUCAUC